CGACUAAGCGUACACGGUGGAUGCCCUGGCAGUCAGAGGCGAUGAAGGACGUGCUAAUCUGCGAAAAGCGUCGGUAAGGUGAUAUGAACCGUUAUAACCGGCGAUGUCCGAAUGGGGAAACCCAGUGCAAUUCGUUGCACUAUCGUUAACUGAAUACAUAGGUUAACGAGGCGCGUCGGGGUAACUGAAAAAUCUGGGUAACCCGAGGAAAAGAA
rnacentral:rRNA from 1 species